rnacentral:rRNA from 2 species
UUUCGAACGAUGAAGCCUAGCUUGCUGGGUGGAUUAGUGGCGAACGGGUGAGUAACACGUGAGUAACCUGCCCUUGACUCUGGGAUAAGCCUGGGAAACUGGGUCUAAUACCGGAUACGACCAUUGCCCGCAUGGGUUGGUGGUGGAAAGCUUUUGUGGUUUUGGAUGGACUCGCGGCCUAUCAGCUUGUUGGUGAGGUAAUGGCUCACCAAGGCGACGACGGGUAGCCGGCCUGAGAGGGUGACCGGCCACACUGGGACUGAGACACGGCCCAGACUCCUACGGGAGGCAGCAGUGGGGAAUAUUGCACAAUGGGCGAAAGCCUGAUGCAGCGACGCCGCGUGAGGGAUGACGGCCUUCGGGUUGUAAACCUCUUUCAGUAGGGAAGAAGCGAAAGUGACGGUACCUGCAGAAGAAGCGCCGGCUAACUACGUGCCAGCAGCCGCGGUAAUACGUAGGGCGCAAGCGUUAUCCGGAAUUAUUGGGCGUAAAGAGCUCGUAGGCGGUUUGUCGCGUCUGCUGUGAAAGGCCAGGGCUCAACCCUGGUUCUGCAGUGGGUACGGGCAGACUUGAGUGAUGUAGGGGAGACUGGAAUUCCUGGUGUAGCGGUGAAAUGCGCAGAUAUCAGGAGGAACACCGAUGGCGAAGGCAGGUCUCUGGGCAUUAACUGACGCUGAGGAGCGAAAGCAUGGGGAGCGAACAGGAUUAGAUACCCUGGUAGUCCAUGCCGUAAACGUUGGGCACUAGGUGUGGGGGACAUUCCACGUUUUCCGCGCCGUAGCUGAACGCAUUAAGUGCCC